rnacentral:rRNA from 1 species
AACGAACGCUGGCGGCAUGCCUAACACAUGCAAGUCGAACGAGAACUUCGGGUCUAGUGGCGCACGGGUGCGUAACGCGUGGGAACCUGCCCUUAGGUUCGGAAUAACUCACCGAAAGGGGUGCUAAUACCGGAUAAUGUCUUCGGACCAAAGAUUUCUCGCCUUUGGGUGGGGCCGCGUUGGAUUCGCUGGUUGGGAGGGUAAAAGCCUACCAAGGCGACGAUCCAGAGCUGGUCUGAGAGGAUGAUCAGCCAGACUGGGACUGAGACACGGCCCAGACUCCUACGGGAGGCAGCAGUGGGGAAUAUUGGACAAUGGGCGAAAGCCUGAUCCAGCAAUGCCGCGUGAGUGAUGAAGGCCUUAGGGUUGUAAAGCUCUUUUACCCGGGAUGAUAAUGACAGUACCGGGAGAAUAAGCUCCGGCUAACUCCGUG